rnacentral:rRNA from 1 species
UUAAGUUAAUAAGGGCGCACGGUGGAUGCCUUGGCACUAGGAGCCGAAGAAGGACGGGACUAACGCCGAUAUGCUUUGGGGAGCUGUAAGUAAGCUUUGAUCCAGAGAUUUCCGAAUGGGGAAACCCAACACUCUUUAUCGGGUGUUACUAUUGACUGAAUACAUAGGUCAAUAGAGGUAGACGCAGAGAACUGAAACAUCUAAGUACCUGCAGGAAGAGAAAGAAAAAUCGAUUCCCUGAGUAGCGGCGAGCGAAACGGGAAUAGCCCAAACCAGAAAGCUUGCUUUCUGGGGUUGUAGGACUGAACACAUAGAGUCAUAAAUGAACGAAGUAGGAGAAGCGACCUGGAAAGGUCCGCCGAAGAGGGUAAUAGCCCCGUAACUGAAACUUCGUUCACUCUGAUCAGUAUCCUGAGUACGGCGGAACACGAGAAAUUCCGUCGGAAUCCGGGAGGACCAUCUCCCAAGGCUAAAUACUCCCUAGUGACCGAUAGUGAACCAGUACCGUGAGGGAAAGGUGAAAAGAACCCCGGAAGGGGAGUGAAACAGCACCUGAAACCGUGUGCUUACAAGUAGUUAGAGCCCGUUAAUGGGUGAUAGCGUGCCUUUUGUAGAAUGAACCGGCGAGUUACGAUCCCAUGCGAGGUUAAGUUGAUGAGACGGAGCCGUAGCGAAAGCGAGUCUGAAUAGGGCGAAUGAGUAUGUGGUCGUAGACCCGAAACCAAGUGAUCUACCCAUGUCCAGGUUGAAGGUGCGGUAAUACGCACUGGAGGACCGAACCCACGUAUGUUGAAAAAUGCGGGGAUGAGGUGUGGGUAGCGGAGAAAUUCCAAUCGAACUUGGAGAUAGCUGGUUCUCUCCGAAAUAGCUUUAGGGCUAGCCUCGGAAUUAGAAUCAUGGAGGUAGAGCAACUGUUUGGACUAGGGGCCCUUCUCGGGUUACCGAAUUCAGAUAAACUCCGAAUGCCAUUGAUUUAUAUCCGGGAGUCAGACUACGAGUGAUAAGAUCCGUAGUCGAGAGGGAAACAGCCCAGACCACCAGCUAAGGUCCCAAAGUUUAUGUUAAGUGGAAAAGGAUGUGGGGUUGCUUAGACAACUAGGAUGUUGGCUCAGAAGCAGCCAUCAUUUAAAGAGUGCGUAAUAGCUCACUAGUCGAGUGACCCUGCGCCGAAAAUUUACCGGGGCUAAACAUAACACCGAAGCUGUGGAUAGAACUUAGGUUCUAUGGUAGGAGAGCGUUCUAAGGGCGUCGAAGCUAGACCGUGAGGACUGGUGGAGCGCUUAGAAGUGAGAAUGCCGGUAUGAGUAGCGAAAGACGGGUGAGAAUCCCGUCCACCGAAUGACUAAGGUUUCCUGGGGAAGGCUCGUCCUCCCAGGGUUAGUCGGGACCUAAGUCGAGGCCGAUAGGCGUAGACGAUGGAUAACAGGUUGAGAUUCCUGUACCAGUUUGUUUUGUUUGAACAAUGGAGGGACACAGUAGGCUAAGGAAUACGCACGGUUGGAUAUGUGCGUCCAAGCAACAAGUCUUGAGGUGAGUCAAAUGCUUGCUUCUAUAAGGACAAGUUGUGAUGGGGAGGGAAAUUAAGUACCGAAGUUCCUGAUGUCACACUGUCAAGAAAAGCUUCUAGUUAGAAACAAUCUGCCCGUACCGCAAACCGACACAGGUAGUCGAGGAGAGAAUCCUAAGGUGUGCGAGCGAACUCUCGUUAAGGAACUCGGCAAAAUGACCCCGUAACUUCGGGAGAAGGGGUGCUGACCAAUUGGUCAGCCGCAGUGAAUAGGCCCAAGCAACUGUUUAUCAAAAACACAGGUCUCUGCUAAAUCGAAAGAUGAAGUAUAGGGGCUGACGCCUGCCCGGUGCUGGAAGGUUAAGAGGAUGGGUUAGCUUUCGAGCGAAGCUCAGAAUUGAAGCCCCAGUAAACGGCGGCCGUAACUAUAACGGUCCUAAGGUAGCGAAAUUCCUUGUCGGGUAAGUUCCGACCCGCACGAAA